rnacentral:pre_miRNA from 1 species
GAUUUCAACUGAAAAAGUCAUCAAUAACAAAGUGGUAUAACUCAUCAAGAUCUAUAACUUCUAUUUUGGUCAUUUCUUUAUCCGACAAAGUGAUUUGUAACAUUAUUCACAAAAUGUACAUCUCUUUCUUAUAUAGUUUUACAGAAACUACACAAGAGAUGUACAUUUUCUAAACAAUCUUACAAAUCACUUUAUUGGAUGAAGAAAUAACCAAAAUAGAAGUUAUAGAUCUUGAUGAGUUAUACAACUUUGUUAUUGAUGACUUUUUCAGAUGAAAUC